AUGGCUUUCCAUCACUAUUUGUGGAACAAACUUGAAUCUCAUACUAAUCCAAUAUUAGUUCUUUUAAAGAUACUACUCGGUUGUAGUAUUGAACUGGUAUAUGCCGCUUUAUGUGCAGGAUGGAAAUUAUGCAGGGCUGAAGUAUUUUGGACAGGUUCUGAGAAAGUUUGCAAAUUUGGUAAUGAAGGAUGGGUGGGUUUUAAAGAUUGGAUUCAUGGCACCGAAGAAAUUGAAGCAUGA